GAUGAACGCUAGCUACAGGCUUAACACAUGCAAGUCGAGGGGAAACGGCAUCGAAAGCUUGCUUUUGAUGGGCGUCGACCGGCGCACGGGUGAGUAACGCGUAUCCAACCUGCCCAUCACUUGGGAAUAACCUUGCGAAAGUAAGACUAAUGCCCAAUGACAUCCCACGAAGGCAUCCGAAUUGGAUUAAAGAUUUAUCGGUGAUGGAUGGGGAUGCGUCUGAUUAGCUUGUUGGCGGGGUGACGGCCCACCAAGGCAACGAUCAGUAGGGGUUCUGAGAGGAAGGUCCCCCACAUUGGAACUGAGACACGGUCCAAACUCCUACGGGAGGCAGCAGUGAGGAAUAUUGGUCAAUGGGCGAGAGCCUGAACCAGCCAAGUAGCGUGCAGGAUGACGGCCCUAUGGGUUGUAAACUGCUUUUAUAAGGGAAUAAAGUGGGUCACGUGUGACUUUUUGCAUGUACCUUAUGAAUAAGGACCGGCUAAUUCCGUG
rnacentral:rRNA from 1 species